CGGAAUUAAACAGAGCAUCAAGGCUUGAAAACAUCAACUAAACAUCACUGGUAAACAUCCCAAACAGGGGAAAACAAGUACUGAAAGAAAGUCUGUCUAACAACUGAAAAACAUGAAAGACUGUCUAAACUAUAAAAACAAUGAAAGAGAUAGCUAAGGUCCUCCGUGGUACCUCUCUCUAUGACUCCCAGAGUCCUCCGAGGUGGUGUCACUGCUCGUGCUCCCUUCUUAGGUGGCAUUGGCUCUUGAAGUCUCAUGGUUGGUCAUGCAUGAAAAAACAUAGCAGGGUCAGUGAUAAACACUAAGUAGCUGAGCCUGAACAUAAAGGACUGAACUAGUAUCUAGUUAUGUGAUCAUGUGGUCCUGUAGGCAUCCUCCUAGCGUUAGCCACCCCUAGCUAUGAGCGGACAGCCUCAAGGCGUACUCAUCUUGUCUGUCUGAAAUCAUUUUGUAACCUGAGGGAUUGGGCAAUUCAUGGGGUGGGUGACCAACGUAUAAUGUGAGCUAGUCUAUCUAGCACCGGUUCUUAAUCCUAGACAUGAACUGUGAAUCACACGCACAGUUCCUCGUUGUGAGCUUAUACUCGAAUCAUAAACAAAUGUAUGGUGCAGUAGAUUACACGCUAUUAUACAGCGUGAACUAUUUAACUACAUGUACAGUAGAUCGCACACUACUGUACAAUUCUGAAAAUCCAAACAAGGAUUGCUGACAACUAAUUACUAUUCUUCUCGUAAAGAAGAAAAGUAAUCCUAACCCUUAGCUCUGAAAGCUUUCCUCUAUAGAGUCUGAUCUGUAGCCAUCUCCCUAGAGCUCGAUUGCCUGAUCUAUAUGACCUGAAGCGAUCAAUCGGAGGAUUAAAAUCUCAAAACCCCAAAUCAAAACCUCUCCGAAUUCUCCUACGUAUGAUUCUAACAAGUGAGUGAGAAAGGACGAGGGAUGUAGAUUACCUUUUGACACUUCAUCGACGAUCUCUAAGCCUCUCCUAUUGGUUUGGGACUGAUCAAUAAGCUCAUCUCCCCUGCCUGGAUCCGAUCACCAUUCGUGAGAGAAUGAAAGGAAAGACAAAUUAGGUUUCUGUAAUUCUGGAAUCAUGACUAUGCUUUUAUAAGCUGUCCACCACGCCCGUCGCCUACUUAUAACCACACCCGUGGUAACAUGGAAACCACGCCCGUGACCUAUUGAUGGUCACGGUCGUAAUCCUUCUGUCUGCCCCGAUCGUAAC
rnacentral:lncRNA from 1 species